CUUCGUUUCUUGCCGUGUAAACAAGUAUAAAGCCGACACUGCGGUUGCACAUGUCACGGACUUGUAGCAGCGACAAAGGAAGCCGCCGCCCUCGGCCCCUCCUCCCCCCUCAUGUCGGCUUCCUCGCUCAUGAGCGCUCACGGGGUGGUCCUGGCAACCGCCGUGGCCGUCUCCGGCACCGUCAUCCUGAUCGCCCUCCGCCGGCAGAAGCCCUUCUCUCUCUCCACCGCCACGGUCCCGGCACCUCCUCCGUGGCGGCAUCUGCGGUCCUGCAUGUCCUCUUCCGAGGAGAGGAAGAGGGCGAGGGCGAACAGGAAGAAGAAGAAGCGAGUUCAGUUCGCGGCCGAAGUGGUGGAGUUCGACCUGGGGAGCUCGGCGGAUGAUCACUCGCUCGGAGAACGUCGUCGAGGAGGAGAAGGGCUGGAGGCGAGCCGGAUGCCGGCGAACAGAGCCGCCCUGUACAAUGGAAUUCUCAGAGAUCGGGGGAUGCAGAGGAUGUCCUGCUGCUACUGAUCGUCGUCAUCAUCGUCGUCUGUUGUAUGAAUGAUUUCUCUUCUUCUCGUCGUGCUUCUUCCUCGGCUCGUUGUUCCAGUGGAAGAACAACAUGCUCGGAUUACUCCUAACUCUGUUCGGUCAACGAGUGGGUCAUGGCGUCAGCCUGAGAGCAGGAAGACUUGUCAUCGUCCUCAAGCAGCGGUGGAUGAGGAAUCGCCCUCCGACCACAGUGACCGUCGAAGAAUAUGCGGGGAACAUCUCGAGCAAUGGCACGCGACAACAGCAAUGCAUGAGACCCACCCUGCGCUGUGCCAUCAUCCAGCUUUCGGUUGGAAAGCAUCUUUUUGAUAGAGAGAAAUAUAUAUUUCUUUGGGUUGCAAUUGAGAUAAAAUAAUCAUUUGAUUAAUUUGAUCAUUAAUAAGUGGUGAUAAAGGCAAUUAAUUAAUUUGAUCAUCAAUCAUGAAA